GGUAAAAAGAUGGCCAUAAAACAGUGACCGCUGAUUCGCAUUGAGUUCUUUCUUACAUAUUGGAUGACCUAUGUUUUUUAUUGUUUAAAUCAUUGCGGCUUGGAAUGCUCUUUAAGAAAAGGAAGAGGAAUGUCUGCGACUAAGUCAAGGGCCACUGGAUACGGGUUGUUGAUGGCAAAACAGGAAGAGGAAUGUCUGCGACUAAGUCAAGGGCCACUGGAUACGGGUUGUUGAUGGCAAAACAGGUUGGAGACUACAUAAGACUUUGACAGUUGGCGGGAAACCAUCAUCAACUGGAGAGAUGCCGGAAGAGGAAUGUCUGCGACUAAGUCAAGGGCCACUGGAUACGGGUUGUUGAUGGCAAAACAGGUUGGAGACUACAUAAGACUUUGACAGUUGGCGGGAAACCAUCAUCAACUGGAGAGAUGCCGGAAGAGGAAUGUCUGCGACUAAGUCAAGGGCCACUGGAUACGGGUUGUUGAUGGCAAAACAGGUUGGAGACUACAUAAGACUUUGACAGUUGGCGGGAAACCAUCAUCAACUGGAGAGAUGCCGGAAGAGGAAUGUCUGCGACUAAGUCAAGGGCCACUGGAUACGGGUUGUUGAUGGCAAAACAGGUUGGAGACUACAUAAGACUUUGACAGUUGGCGGGAAACCAUCAUCAACUGGAGAGAUGCCGGUAAAAAGAUGGCCAUAAAACAGUGACCGCUGA